rnacentral:lncRNA from 1 species
UAGGUGUGAGGAUGGAGGUUAGAGAGAUUGAGGGAACGAACUCCGAAAACGUCAGUGAAGAGUGUUACCCUGGUCCAUGCCAUGCAAUGGUGCCUCAUUGUUGGUGCUGCAAACAUUUAGACCACUGUUGGUCAGGCACAACUGGUCACAACUUUUGCAACAUGCAGUGUAACACAAGUUUAAACCCUUGAUAUGAUUAAUUAAAACAAGGGAAGCAUGAAGAACUAGUUCUAUUUUGUUUACUAAAAAUAAAUAAACGUCUCGCAAAGUUAUAGACUCUAUUAUGUUUGCUUCUGCGUCAGAAAAAGCAGUUAACCAAUGUUUUAAUCUGAUUUUUUUCUUUUUGGUUCUAACUAAAAAUUAAAAAUUACUUGUCAAAUAACUGACAGCUAAUUUUACUCUUCACUGAAUAAAUGAUGGUUGAAUAUAAUUUAUAUAUCUUUGACCCAAUAAAUUACUGUAUAAUGAUAGUGGAACAUUCACUAAUACGGAAACAUAAAUCAAAAUUAAUAAUUAAAUUCUUAAUAGAGAUAUUGGAAAGUUUGACCAAGACAUUUGAAUAUUGGAUCUUCCAAAUCAAGAGAUAUUAUCUCAAAUUAUUCUUUCUUACCUAAAAUUAAUCUAUGUUUGUAUUAUAUAUUGAUUAAGUUCGGAAUGAAAAAAUUACAACAACAAAAUAUCACAACACAAUUAUUUGAGAGAGUUGUAACAUUAACAUCCAGACUACGAUGAAGUCAUCACAUUUAGCUAUAAUCUGCAUAGUCAUGCUCUCUCUAUUCGCUCUUCAUGAGUGUAAGUAUAUUCGAAUGUGUUCGUUUUUCAAAGUUUUGGUUUGGUGUUUAACAACCAUAUAUAUAUAAUCGAUGAUGUGUAGGUGUGAGCAAAGAGAUCUCUCUAAAGGACGUAAAUGAAGAGUGUAUUCCUGGCCCAUGCCAUCCUUUGGUACCUCAUUGUUGGUGCUGCGAACAUUUACGGGCUAUCAGGCCACAAUGCUGUUGGUCAGGUAGCACUGGUCGCGACUAUUGCAAUAUGCAAUGUAGGUUAUAAUCAUUUCUAUUACUCUGGUCUACUCAUGCAUUUGAAUUCCCCCCACCUUUUCCAAGCAGUCUUAUAAAGCUUGCUUGUACUACUUCUCUUUAUUUACUCUUUUUUUUGAUAAAAUAAAGUUCAAGUUUCCAUAUAUAUACGCUUCUAAAGUAUUCUGUUGUUAAGAUUUAUAUUUUAUACCACAAUUGUA